CAGUCGCCGCGGUAAUACGAAGGGGGCUAGCGUUGUUCGGAAUCACUGGGCGUAAAGGGUGCGUAGGCGGAUUCUUAAGUCAGGGGUGAAAUCCCGAGGCUCAACCUCGGAACUGCCUUUGAUACUGGGGAUCUUGAGUCCGGAAGAGGUGAGUGGAACUGCGAGUGUAGAGGUGAAAUUCGUAGAUAUUCGCAAGAACACCGGUGGCGAAGGCGGCUCACUGGUCCGGAACUGACGCUGAGGCACGACAGCGUGGGGAGCAAACAGGAUUAGAUACCCCAGUAGUCCCUGUCUCUUAUAC
rnacentral:rRNA from 1 species